GAUGAACGCUGGCGGCGUGCCUAAUAUAUGCAAGUCGAGCGAACGGACGAGAAGCUUGCUUCUCUGAUGUUAGCGGCGGACGGGUGAGUAACACGUGGAUAACCUACCUAUAAGACUGGGAUAACUUCGGGAAACCGGAGCUAAUACCGGAUAAUAUUUUGAACCGCAUGGUUCAAAAGUGAAAGACGGUCUUGCUGUCACUUAUAGAUGGAUCCGCGCUGCAUUAGCUAGUUGGUAAGGUAACGGCUUACCAAGGCAACGAUGCAUAGCCGACCUGAGAGGGUGAUCGGCCACACUGGAACUGGGACACGGUCCAGACUCCUACGGGAGGCAGCAGUAGGGAAUCUUCCGCAAUGGGCGAAAGCCUGACGGAGCAACGCCGCGUGAGUGAUGAAGGUCUUCGGAUCGUAAAACUCUGUUAUUAGGGAAGAACAUAUGUGUAAGUAACUGUGCACAUCUUGACGGUACCUAAUCAGAAAGCCACGGCUAACUACGUG
rnacentral:rRNA from 1 species